UACGGAGGGUGCAAGCGUUAUCCGGAUUCACUGGGUUUAAAGGGUGCGUAGGAGGGCAGGUAAGUCAGUGGUGAAAUCCUAGAGCUUAACUCUAGAACUGCCGUUGAUACUAUCUGUCUUGAAUAUUGUGGAGGUGAGCGGAAUAUGUCAUGUAGCGGUGAAAUGCUUAGAUAUGACAUAGAACACCAAUUGCGAAGGCAGCUCGCUACACAUAUAUUGACUCUGAGGCACGAAAUCGUGGGGAUCAAACAGG
rnacentral:rRNA from 1 species